AUUGAACGCUGGCGGCAGGCCUAACACAUGCAAGUCGAACGAGUGGCGGAGGGGUGAGUAGUGUCUGGGAAACUGCAUGAUGGAGGGGGAUAAAUACUGGAAACGGUAGAUAAUACCGUAUCACAUCGGGUGUCCCCAGAUGGGAUUAGCUAGUAGGUGGGGUAAAGGCUCACCUAGGCGACGAUCACUAGCUGGUCUGAGAGGAUGACAAGCCACACUGGAACUGAGACACGGGCCAGACGCCUACGGGAGGCAGCAGUGGGGAAUAUUGCACAAUGGGCGCAAGCCUGAUGCAGCCAUGCCGCGUGUAUGAAGAAGGCCUUCGGGUUGUAAAGUACUCUCAGCGGGGAGGCGUUACCCGCAGAAGAAGCACCGGCUAACUCCGUGCCAGCAGCCGCGGUAAUAC
rnacentral:rRNA from 1 species